GAGCCACCAUUUNUUGGUAGAGCAUCUGACUUUUAAUCAGAGGGUCGAAGGUUCGAGUCCUUCAUGGCUCACCA
rnacentral:tRNA from 1 species